AUUGAACGCUGGCGGCAGGCUUAACACAUGCAAGUCGAGCGGAGCGAGGGUGCUUGCACCUUAGCUUAGCGGCGGACGGGUGAGUAAUGCUUAGGAAUCUGCCUAUUGGUGGGGGACAACAUUCCGAAAGGGAUGCUAAUACCGCAUACGCCCUACGGGGGAAAGCAGGGGAUCUUCGGACCUUGCGCUAAUAGAUGAGCCUAAGUCGGAUUAGCUCGUUGGUGGGGUAAAGGCCUACCAAGGCGACGAUCUGUAGCGGGUCUGAGAGGAUGAUCGGCAGCACUGGGACUGGACCACGGCCCAGACUCCUACGGGAGGCAGCAGUGGGGAAUAUUGGACAAUGGGCGGAAGCCUGAUCCAGCCAUGCCGCGUGUGUGAAGAAGGCCUUUUGGUUGUAAAGCACUUUAAGCGAGGAGGAGGCUACUAGUAUUAAUACUACUGGAUAGUGGACGUUACUCGCAGAAUAAGCACCGGCUAACUCUGUGCCAGCCGCCGCCGUAACAC
rnacentral:rRNA from 1 species